rnacentral:misc_RNA from 1 species
GAAAUGCGAUAAGUAAUGUGAAUUGCAGAAUUCAGUGAAUCAUCGAAUCUUUGAACGCACCUUGCGCUCCUUGGUAUUCCGAGGAGCAUGCCUGUUUGAGUGUCAUUAAAUUCUCAACCUCACCAAUUUUGUUAUGAGAUUGUGUGUUGGCUUGGAUGUGGGGGUUGCAGGUCCGCUUCGGUGGUCUGCUCCUCUGAAAUGUAUUAGUGGGUUUGGUCCCCUAAUCUAUUGGUGUGAUAAUUAUCUACGCCGUGGAUUGGAAGACUAUUAUGAACCUGCUUCUAACCGUCCCUUACCGGACAAUUUAUGACAUUUUUGACCUCAAAUCAGGUAAGACUACCCGCUGAACUUAA